rnacentral:rRNA from 1 species
UACGUAGGGUGCAAGCGUUGUCCGGAAUUAUUGGGCGUAAAGAGCUCGUAGGCGGUCUGUCGCGUCGGCUGUGAAAACCCGGAGCUCAACUCCGGAUCUGCGGUGGGUACGGGCAGACUAGAGUGAUGUAAGGGAGACUGGAAUUCCUGGUGUAGCGGUGAAAUGCGCAGAUAUCAGGAGGAACACCGAUGGCGAAGGCAGGUCUCUGGGCAUUAACUGACGCUGAGGAGCGAAAGCAUGGGGAGCGAACAGG